GAUGAACGCUGGCGGCGUGCCUAAUACAUGCAAGUCGAGCGAACAGACGAGGAGCUUGCUCCUCUGACGUUAGCGGCGGACGGGUGAGUAACACGUGGAUAACCUACCUAUAAGACUGGGAUAACUUCGGGAAACCGGAGCUAAUACCGGAUAACAUGUUGAACCGCAUGGUUCAACAGUGAAAGACGGUCUUGCUGUCACUUAUAGAUGGAUCCGCGCCGCAUUAGCUAGUUGGUAAGGUAACGGCUUACCAAGGCAACGAUGCGUAGCCGACCUGAGAGGGUGAUCGGCCACACUGGAACUGAGACACGGUCCAGACUCCUACGGGAGGCAGCAGUAGGGAAUCUUCCGCAAUGGGCGAAAGCCUGACGGAGCAACGCCGCGUGAGUGAAGAAGGUCUUCGGAUCGUAAAACUCUGUUAUUAGGGAAGAACAAAUGUGUAAGUAACGAUGCACGUCUUGACGGUACCUAAUCAGAAAGCCACGGCUAACUACGGGC
rnacentral:rRNA from 1 species